rnacentral:rRNA from 1 species
GACGAACGCUGGCGGCGUGCUUAACACAUGCAAGUCGAACGGAAAGGCCCUGCUUGUGUGGGGUGCUCGAGUGGCGAACGGGUGAGUAACACGUGAGUAACCUGCCCUUGACUUUGGGAUAACUUCAGGAAACUGGGGCUAAUACCGGAUAGGAGCUCCUGCUGCAUGGUGGGGGUUGGAAAGUUUCGGCGGUUGGGGAUGGACUCGCGGCUUAUCAGCUUGUUGGUGGGGUAGUGGCUUACCAAGGCGUUGACGGGUAGCCGGCCUGAGAGGGUGACCGGCCACAUUGGGACUGAGAUACGGCCCAGACUCCUACGGGAGGCAGCAGUGGGGAAUAUUGCACAAUGGGCGGAAGCCUGAUGCAGCAACGCCGCGUGCGGGAUGACGGCCUUCGGGUUGUAAACCGCUUUCGCCUGUGACGAAGCGUGAGUGACGGUAAUGGGUAAAGAAGCACCGGCUAACUACGUG